rnacentral:rRNA from 1 species
UGGGGAAUCUUGCACAAUGGGGGCAACCCUGAUGCAGCGACGCCGCGUGAGCGAUGAAGCCCUUCGGGGCGUAAAGCUCUUUCGACCGGAACGAUAAUGACGGUACCGGGAGAAGAAGCUGCGGCUAACUACGUGCCAGCAGCCGCGGUAAUACGUAGGCAGCAAGCGUUGUUCGGAGUUACUGGGCGUAAAGAGUGCGUAGGCGGUUUUCUAAGUUCGGUGUGAAAUCUCCCGGCUUAACCUCGGAAUUGCCCUCAAAACUGCACGUCUUGAGACCGAGAGAGGUAAGGGGAAUUCCUAGUGUAGAGGUGAAAUUCGUAGAUAUUAGGAAGAACACCAGUGGCGAAGGCGGCCAACUGGACAGAUACUGACGCUGAGACUCGAAAGCGUGGGGAGCAAACA